GACGAACGCUGGCGGCGUGCUUAACACAUGCAAGUCGAACGGAAAGGCCCUGCUUGCAGGGUGCUCGAGUGGCGAACGGGUGAGUAACACGUGGGUGAUCUGCCCCUUACUUUGGGAUAAGCCUGGGAAACUGGGUCUAAUACUGGAUAGGACCAUGCUGUAGGUGGUGUGGUGGAAAGAUUAGUUUCGGUAAGGGAUGAGCUCGCGGCCUAUCAGCUUGUUGGUGGGGUAAUGGCCUACCAAGGCGUCGACGGGUAGCCGGCCUGAGAGGGUGGACGGCGACAUUGGGACUGAGAUACGGCCCAGACGCCUACGGGAGGCAGCAGUGGGGAAGAUUGCACAAUGGGCGCAAGCCUGAUGCAGCGACGCCGCGUGGGGGAUGACGGCCUUCGGGUUGUAAACUCCUUUCAGCCAUGACGAAGCCCUUGUGGUGACGGUAGUGGUAGAAGAAGCACCGGCUAACUACGUG
rnacentral:rRNA from 1 species